UACAGAGGUCCCAAGCGUUGUUCGGAUUCACUGGGCGUAAAGGGUGCGUAGGUGGCAUGGUAAGUUUGAUGUGAAAUCUCCGGGCUUAACCCGGAAAUGGCAUUGAAUACUACUGUGCUGGAGGUUUGGAGGGGGGGACUGGAAUUCUCGGUGUAGCAGUGAAAUGCGUAGAUAUCGAGAGGAACACCAGUGGCGAAGGCGAGUCCCUGGACAACACUGACACUGAGCACGAAAGCUAGGGGGAGGCAAAACAGGA
rnacentral:rRNA from 1 species